GGCAGGAUGGCCGAGUGGUAAGGCGCUGGAUUUCAGUUUCUGGUGGGUUCUCACGCGUGGGAUCGAGUCCCACGCGUGUCG